GGAAUACUUUAAUAAUGCACUUUGGUUUGCAUUUUAAUGACAGUUCUGAUUUCAAUUAGGAAGACCUAAGAUUGAGCCCAGCUCUGCCACUUACCAGGGUCAGAGCCAGAGCCACAGCUGCCGCGGAGCCCUCCUAUCCCAAUCCAGCCUGUGGGGGUUUCCUCCCCCGUAGUACAGAAUGGAACUUCCUGUACCCUCACUCAAAAACAUAGGAAGAGCACAGCAUAACGGUUAAGACUUCAGGCUGUUGCUUAGGCUUCUGGAUUCAAGUUCAUCACUUACUGGCCUUGGGAAGACUGUCGAUUCAAUUCAGCGCAUACUCAUCACUUACUAUAGACGAGGCAGUUUGAAGAAAUGCAAAGCUGAACUUCAAACCAGUCGAAGAGAAAAUGUAAG